rnacentral:rRNA from 1 species
UACAGAGGUCUCGAGCGUUGUUCGGAUUCAUUGGGCGUAAAGGGCGCGUAGGCGGCGGGGUAAGUCUGGUGUGAAAUCUCGGAGCUCAACUCCGAAAUUGCACUGGAUACUGCUCUGCUAGAGGGCUGGAGAGGAGAUCGGAAUUCACGGUGUAGCAGUGAAAUGCGUAGAUAUCGUGAGGAAGACCAGUGGCGAAGGCGGAUCUCUGGACAGCUCCUGACGCUGAGGAGCGAAAGCGUGGGGAGCAAACAGG